AAUAGACAUAAAAUAUGAUACAAGACUAUAAAUUAACAUAAACAUAAAUAAAUAGACAAUAGUAGCUUGCAAAUGAUUAGGCUAGCAGGAUUGCUCUUACAAAGCCUAUCAGUAACAAAAUUAGAAUAAGAUAAUGCAAUAAGAGGUAAACUAAUAGCUGUAAUCAUACACAUACACACACACACGCGCGCGCGCGCGUAAAACUCACUCACACACGCACAUACAUUCGCAAACACACCAAUUACAUCAGUCUCGUUUAAAUACUGUGAGUGAUGCAAUGAAACGCGAGGUAGCGGAAUGAAAGAAGGAUAGAGAGAGAGAGGUUUUUAUUGAAUCAGGAAGGGAAUUAAAAUAUUUGACAGAGGUGUAGAAGAAAGCGGCACUGAACUUAGUGGACCAAUAUAUGGGGAAGAACAAGUAAUCUUGGUAUUUGGUGACAAGAGGGUUAAAAGAGAAUGAUGAUCAGUUUUCAACUGAAAGAGACGUCGCAGAUAUAGAGGAAUAUUGGAGUUAAGGAGAGAAAAUACAAGACAAGUGGAGAAUAAAACGUUGUCAAAUCUUAAGCUAGAUCUCUGGUAAUACGGAGAUAUAUGGUCGUAUUUACGAACGUAAUAGAAGAAGCGGAGAGGUUACUGAAACAUCAAUUGGGUGAAAGGAUUUAAGAAGAAUUACGUCAUUUGCAUACAUAGAGAGUUCGGAGGACAGAGAAACAUUAGACAAAUCGGAGACAAAAAUAUUAAAGAGUAAAGGUCCGAGAAUGGAACUCUGGGAAAUACCAGAGAGAACGGCACGAAUAAAGGAAAAAAAGAAGAAAAGAAUUAUAUACGAGGACUUACUGCGUGCGAUUUGUAAGGGACGAGCUGAUCAAGGAGAGAGCAGGAUGGGAAAGAUCGUAUGACUUCUGAUUGAUUAAAAAUCAUGAUUGAUGAAAACAUGAUCGAAAGCCCUUAUGAAGUCCAGCGCAACGAUGGAAGUAAGGCGAUAAUUGUCGAAAUUACGAAGCACGACGUUAGUGAUGUGAAGCAAUUCCGUCGUCGUGCUGUGAGAUCGACGAAAACCAGACUGACAGGAGGGAAGGAUAUUAAAAUUUGAGACAAAGGCAUUAAGCUGUGAGAAGCAGAUAUACUCAAGCAGCUUUGAGAGGGAAGGAGGGAGUGAGAUAGGUGAAAAGAUAAAGGAGAAGAGGGGUUAAUAGUUUUAAGAAUGGGAAGAAUAAUUGAGUGUUUCCAGGAGGAGGGAAAGGUAUUGUGAGAGAGGGAGAAGUUUAACAUAAAGAGAAGGGGAUCAAGACAUUGAGGAAGGCACAGUAGGAGCAUGCAACAGGAGAGAUCAAGCGGUCUAGGGGAAGUCAAACGAAUAUGCUUCAAAAUAUUAUAGAGAUCACUAGGAGUGAUUGGAGCAAAAUUGAAGGUCGAAGAAAUGUGACAAGAGGAGGAAAGAAGGUGAGUAAAAGAAUUAAAAGAAUAAGACGAAGAAGGUAGAGUAUAAAAGAAAUGAUUAUUCAGGAGAGGGUUUCUGAGGUGCAGAGAUAUAGAAACAGAGGAGGAUUAUGCAUCGCCAAGGGCACGGAGAUUUCUCCAGAAUUGGAGCGAAAAAUGAGUUGUAAGGAAGGUAGAGAGAACUUUUUCUCACGACAAAUAGCAAUAUUUACGUCGUUUCGCAAAUUCUUGUACCACUGCCAGUAGGAGACUGAGAUCGUCUGUAUCUAAGAAGCACUCAGAGGCACUCUUUUCAGCUUAAGGGGGGAAACCACAGUAGAGCACGAAAAACUUUGACAUAAUCCCAGACGAAGUAAUCGAGCACAUUCAAACCUGGUGAGCGUGCCGGCCAAACGAUCGGACCACUCCGACCAAUUCAUCUGUCUGGAAAACAUUCAUCCAAUUUCCCGUACUCUGCGAGAGAAUAAUGUACGGGAGCUCCAUCGUGCUGAAAAAUCAGCGUAAAAAUUUCCCGCUCUCGGAAAGGAACGUCAUCCAAGAGAAUCGGAGCGAUUAAUUCGUCCAAAAACGGC